rnacentral:rRNA from 1 species
AUGUUUAAUCAGUUUGAUAUGACCUCUAAUCUUGGUGAUGAUUCUGUGUCGAAUGACUUAUUGCAUGUUUGCUUAUUUAAGCAUGUUGUAGAAUGUAAAUUUGAUGCAAGUAAGGUUUAUUCACCAAUGUUGGAAUGGUUUAAUGAUGAAUAUUGUCAAUCUUUUGAUAUGAAUAAGAGCUUCACUUAUAUGUGCAAACUGAGUUGCAAUAUUUUCAUGCAUUUUACUUAUGAUAAUAUUUUGGCUUUAUAUUUUAUAAUCUAUGACGGUUCCUCAUCUAUUCAUGUGUCAUAUGUGCAAAAAUCAAGGGAAGUAAAAAUGGAUGACAUAUACAUAUACAACAUGUACACCUUGUCUCUUUUGUUAGCCACAUUUCAGAUUAAGGAACGCCGAGGACGGCUUUGUUUUCAAGAAAGGGAGGAUGAUGAGGACAUGACUACCUUGGAUAUGACCAAAAAUAUUGCAUACAUAUAUAUUUGUGAGGUGAUUUCUAAUGCAAACUAUGCAAUAAUUUAUUUAUGUCAUCCAGGACAAAAAUACUUCACAAACUUUUGUGUCAUGUCUAAUUGCAGGUGUAUGGGACAUUUGUACAAUCCACAUAUGAAGAUAAGGGAGAAAGAGAUAUUUACUUGCUGUUCAAAAAGUUCUCUCAUGUCACUUUUGGCCCAAGAGAAGAUAGAGUCCAAGUCUCUCACGUUCUGGAUUCAGAUUCGGACUGCACAGACAUACCUGACUCAAAACGCCAACAACUUUUUCAUACGGACUCCGAAUUGGGUGAUUCUUUUUUUGUUGGAAACUAGAUUUCGUGCACUUUCCAACCCAAUUUGA